rnacentral:tRNA from 1 species
GGUUCCGUGUCCGAGCGGCUUAGGUCCCCGAAUGCAAGUCGGGUUACUCGGGUUCGAAUCCCGACGGAACCU